CCUACGGGAGGCAGCAGUGGGGAAUCUUCCACAAUGGACGAAAGUCUGAUGGAGCAACGCCGCGUGAGCGAUGAAGGCCUUCGGGUCGUAAAGCUCUGUUGUUAGGGAAGAACAAGUACCGGAGUAACUGCCGGUACCUUGACGGUACCUAACCAGAAAGCCACGGCUAACUACGUGCCAGCAGCCGCGGUAAU
rnacentral:rRNA from 1 species